rnacentral:lncRNA from 1 species
GCGGCGGCGACGGCGGUGGCGGCGACGCUGGUAGCUUUCUACUAUUAGUGCUUCGUAACUACUAGAUUCUUUCAUUUUUACUACAUUUACAUACAGUUUCAGGACUUAUAACUAACAACACAACACACACUAGACAGUAUAUAAACUGAGAGAGACUUAAAGGAGAAAGAACGGAGCCUGACAGAAACAUAUAGAUAUAUAGAUAGAUAGAUAGAUAUAUAGAUAUAUAGAUAUAUAUAUACGGACAUGUAUAUAUAUAUAUAUUAUAAAUAGAAAGAAAGAAAGAAAGAAGGAAAGAAGGAAAGAAAGAAGGAAGGAAAGAAGGAAAGAAAGAAAGAAAGAAAGAAAGAAAGAAGGAAAGAAAGGAAGAAGGAAAGAAAGAAAGAAAGAAAGAAAGAGAGAGAGAGAUGAGAGGGAGAAGAGGGAGACACCCACACGUAAAGACGAAUUCGUUUUGACUACAAUUUGUUCAGUAAACAUACACACACAUAGACACACACAUACACACACACACACACACUAACGUACGUACAUACACACAGUAACGUACGUACGUACAUACAUACACUAACGUACGUACAUACAUACACUAACGUACGUACGUACAUACAUACACUAACGUACGUACGUACAUACAUGUGUACGUACAAGUACAUACUUAACGGCGAUGUAAAAAUAAAUUUUUCUGCCUAAAAAUAUUGGUUAUCGACUUGUUGAAAAGCUAUCACACCACACACCACAAUGGUUGAGGAUAUUAAACGGAGAGAGAAGGAUAUCGUAUGGACUUGUGUGUGAUAUGAUAUCUCUCCCUACACGCUCUCCGUCACAGCAAUAAUAACAUCUAUCACAAUAAUAAUAAUAAUAAUAAUAAUAAUAAUAGUAAUAUUGACAGUGAUGAUGACUACGAUGUUAAGGAUGGUGUUGAUGACGACGGCGAUGAUGCGAACAACAUUGAUAACAACAUCUAAAGCGAUGAUAAUGACGACGAAUAAGGCGACGACCACGGCGACGAAUCUAGUGAUGACACCAGUAACAAUGACAACAACACUAAUGGCUCGUCGAUGACAGAAGUCACACGAAUUGAAAGAGCGACAGACGGACCGAUAUACAUAUAUCUAUAUAUGUGUAUAUAUAUGUAAAUAUAUAUAUAUAUAUAUAUAUUGAAAGAGAGAAAAGCAGAGAGAUAGACAGACAGACAGAUAGAAAGCGCGAGAGAUAGAGAGAGAGAGAGACAAAGAGAUAGAUAGAGAGGCAGAGAUAGAGAGAUCGUGCGGAGGAUGGUAACGGCCUAAUUGAGUUUUAUUGUCGAAGUGAUGCAGUGUGGAGAGGAUGCAAGCCAGGUUAUAUCCGCUGCCAAUGACCGUUUUCUUCAUAUUUUGGUCAAUUUUGCUCACAAACUUUGUGAUUUUAGGAUCUUCUUCUUCUUCAUCUUCAUCCCCCGAUAUUCUGGACGAAUGUCACGUUUUUUGUAAAAAUAAUUAUAACACGG